AAUACUUCCCGGGCCUUGUACACACCGCCCGUCAAGCCAUGGAAGUCAGGAGACCUGAAGCCGGUGACCGUCAAAGGAGCCGUCUAGGGUAAACUGGUAACUGGGGCU
rnacentral:rRNA from 1 species